AUUGAACGCUGGCGGCAGGCUUAACACAUGCAAGUCGAACGGUAACAGGGAGAAACUUGUUUCUCUGCUGACGAGUGGCGGACGGGUGAGUAAUGCUUGGGAAUCUGCCUUAUGGAGGGGGAUAACCACUGGAAACGGUGGCUAAUACCGCGUAAUAUCUUCGGAUUAAAGUGUGGGACUUUCGAGCCACACGCCAUAAGAUGAGCCCAAGUGAGAUUAGGUUGUUGGUGAGGUAAUGGCUCACCAAGCUUACGAUCUCUAGCUGGUUUGAGAGGAUGACCAGCCACACUGGGACUGAGACACGGCCCAGACUCCUACGGGAGGCAGCAGUGGGGAAUAUUGCACAAUGGGCGCAAGCCUGAUGCAGCCAUGCCGCGUGAAUGAAGAAGGCCUUAGGGUUGUAAAGUUCUUUCAUUAGUGAGAAAGCGGUUAUAUCUAAUAGGUGUAACCAUUGAUGUUAGCUAAAGAAGAAGCACCGGCUAACUCCGUGCCAGCAGCCGCGGUAAUACGGAGGGUGCGAGCGUUAAUCGGAAUGACUGGGCGUAAAGGGCACGCAGGCGGUUAUUUAAGUCAGAUGUGAAAGCCCCGAGCUUAACUUGGGAAUUGCAUUUGAUACUGGGUAACUAGAGUCCUCUAGGGAGGGGUAGAAUUCCAUGUGUAGCGGUGAAAUGCGUAGAGAUGUGGAGGAAUACCGAAAGCGAAGGCAGCCCCUUGGAGAGAGACUGACGCUCAUGUGCGAAAGCGUGGGUAGCAAACAGG
rnacentral:rRNA from 1 species